rnacentral:rRNA from 1 species
AGUCAACAUAACCAAAGGACGUGGAUAAACUCGGGAAACUGAGGCUAAACCGCGAUAGACCAAGAUACCUGGAAUGGUUUUUGAUUAAAAUCUAUAUGGCCUUUGGAUUGGACUGCGACCGAUCAGGCUGUUGGUGAGGUAAUGGCCCACCAAACCUGUAACCGGUACGGGCUCUGAGAGGAGGAGCCCGGAGAUGGGUACUGAGACAAGGACCCAGGCCCUAUGGGGCGCAGCAGGCGCGAAACCUCUGCAAUAGGCGAAAGCCUGACAGGGUUAUUCUGAGUGACUUUCGCUAAGAAAGUCUUUUGACACCUCUAAAAAUGGUGUAGAAUAAGGGGUGGGCAAGUCUGGUGUCAGCCGCCGCGGUAAUACCAGCACCCCGAGUGGUCGGGACGAUUAUUGGGCCUAAAGCAUCCGUAGCCGGUUUUACAAGUCCUCCGUUAAAUCCAACUGCUUAACAGAUGGGCCGCGGAGGAUACUAUAAGACUAGGAGGCAGGAGAGGCAAGCGGUACUCAGUGGGUAGGGGUAAAAUCCGUUGAUCCAUU